GUUGUGUCUAUUUCAUGGCUCCUGCUGUCUUUUCUCAACAUUGGGUGAGAGUUUGUGUGUGUGCUGUGGGAACCCCCUCAACCCACCUCCCAGCAUGUGAUCCACUGGAGUCAUCGCAGAUAGCAGGCUCCCAGUACUUGGCUUUGCUGCAGCCAUGUCACCCUGCUUCUGGCUGUAGAGGAGAAAAUGCCAGUAACUAUCAACAAAACUAUGAGCAAGAUAAUCGCAAACAUGAAAAAAGAAAAUAAAAGCAUCAAAGAGAUCCAUGCAUGGCUCAAGGAAAGUGGCAUUAUAGUCACUUUAGAAACAGUGCGCUAUCAUGCUUUCGAGAGAACAACGCCCAGAUUUGUAUUUCCUACAAAAUGCACAUGAAGAGUGCAAGAAAUUGUGGAGGAACUAACUCGUGAGGAUGAUGAGCGUACUGCUUUGCAAAUAAAAUGAAUUCUCCAUUCCAAGUAUGACCUGGACAUAUCGAUCACCAGCGUUAGAAGGAUGCAACGGAAAAUGGGAUGGACCUUUAGCGCUACAAGGCAAAAUACUGAAAGCAGUAUAAACCGAUAUCUCCCAUGAUAAGAGAUGUGAAUAAAGAAAAGAGUUGAACAGGCACGGCAAUGGAUUGAGAGUGGUGAAACAUUUCAUGAUGUCAUUUUCACAGAUGAAUCGUCUGUUGCUCUUGAGCGGUUCUCCAGAAUGUCAUUCUGGAAACGUCACAAUAUCUCAUUAAAACCACGCCCAAAGCAUCCAUUUAAAGUCCAUGUAUGGUGAGGCAUAUCACGAUUAGGAGCUGGUCCCCUAUUAUUUUUUGAAGGUACUAUACUUUAUUCUGUGCCUGUGUUCUGUAAAAAAUACAUGCUGUACUGUAGAGUACAUGUAACUGCACAAUAAAAUGAGUUGCUUAUUAAUGAAAAACAUUUUUUUAUUUCUGUAGGGAUCAUGGAUAAGCAGUUUUUCACAUAUGAAAAUUCUUC